rnacentral:lncRNA from 1 species
AAGCCAACAUACACAACAAGAAUUCGAAUGGCUAGAGAUUAAGAAAAUGUGUAAUUAAACUCAAUAGCCUCACUAUGGAUAGCCAAUGAUAACGUAGGUCAAAAGAUCACUCACACCACUGCAGCAUCGAGAAGAUCUGACGAGUGAGUAGACAUCCAUGUGAUUUUUCAUGUUGGUCACACUCAAUACAAGUUGUUCUCUAACAACCACCCACACCC